rnacentral:rRNA from 1 species
GUGGUUAAAUUCGAAGCAACGCGAAGAACCUACCAGGCCUUGACAUGCAGAGAACUUUCCAGAGAUGGAUUGGUGCCUUCGGGAACUCUGACACAGGUGCUGCAUGGCUGUCGUCAGCUCGUGUCGUGAGAUGUUGGGUUAAGUCCCGUAACGAGCGCAACCCUUGUCCUUAGUUACCAGCACGUUAUGGUGGGCACUCUAAGGAGACUGCCGGUGACAAACCGGAGGAAGGUGGGGGAUGACGUCAAGUCAUCAUGGCCCUUACGGCCUGGGCUACACACGUGCUACAAUGGUCGGUACAAAGGGUUGCCAAGCCGCGAGGUGGAGCUAAUCCCAUAAAACCGAUCGUAGUCCGGAUCGCAGUCUGCAACUCGACUGCGUGAAGUCGGAAUCGCUAGUAAUCGUGAAUCAGAAUGUCACGGUGAAUACGUUCCCGGGCCUU